rnacentral:lncRNA from 1 species
GCGGCUGCGGCUUCAGCGACAUGCUCGCUCGGACUUCUUAGUUCCUCCUUCAGGGGACCCGAAGGGAAAUGGACCUGAUUGGUAGUAGAACUGGGUGAUGGGGUCUCCCUCGGUGAAGACUAAACAGACUUUCCCAAGAAUGUCAACUUUAGACCUUGACCCCUUUUAAAAACUUUUACUUUAACUCGGGAAGGCCACCAAACACUGGUCCGUUUUUUUUUUUAAGGUGUUGUAAUUAAAUUGGAAAC